rnacentral:rRNA from 1 species
UACGGAGGGGGCUAGCGUUGUUCGGAAUUACUGAGCGUAAAGCGCGCGCAGGCGGCAUGGCAAGUAAGGUGUGAAAUCUCCCUGCCUAACGGGGAGGGUGCAUUUUAGACUGCCAAGCUAGAGGACGGUAGAGGGGGGUAGAAUUGCUGGUGUAGCGGUGAAAUGCGCAGAUAUCAGGAGGAACACCGAUGGCGAAGGCAGCUCGCUGGGACGGUACUGACGCUGAGGCGCGAAAGCGUGGGGAGCAAACAGG